AGGGAGGAGGCCUUACCUUGUAUGUCAUAGUCGCCGGUCGAGCCUUUACAAGGAAGGUUCGGCAGGCGUCGCCAGCAAGAGCGAGCAUCGGCAACAGGAGUUUCUCCAUGAACCAAUCACUUCGGAACCUUGGGACGUGGAGAUGAGAGCCUCUUGGGGACAGCCUGACCGAUUGUGGCCAGAAGCGAGACGACGCUGGCAAUGUCCGGUGAUCAAAAGGGCGUGAGGUCGUGUGAAUGAUCAGUGAUUGCGCGUGGAGAGCUGAGAGCCAGCCGGAGAAAAAAAGGAUCUCCAAAAAUCGUCUCUCCCAAUCUCUCUCUCGUGUGCG
rnacentral:lncRNA from 1 species